UACGUAGGGUGCAAGCGUUAUCCGGAUUUAUUGGGCGUAAAGGGCUCGUAGGCGGUUCGUUGCGUCCGGUGUGAAAGUCCAUCGCUUAACGGUGGAUCCGCGCCGGGUACGGGCGGGCUUGAGUGCGGUAGGGGAGACUGGAAUUCCCGGUGUAACGGUGGAAUGUGUAGAUAUCGGGAAGAACACCAAUGGCGAAGGCAGGUCUCUGGGCCGUUACUGACGCUGAGGAGCGAAAGCGUGGGGAGCGAACAGG
rnacentral:rRNA from 1 species